CAAAUGCUCCAGACCGCUCUCUCUCCACCUACCCUGAGCCUAGCACUCUCCUCCCAGAAGAGCUAUUUCAGCAGGCCCAAACUGAUCCAGCUUCUGGAGGUUUUAUUCCCAGUUCAGAUCCUGAGAGGUCAUCUCAUCAUGGAGACCCCAAAGCUGGGGAGGACUCUGCAGUGCGGGUGCAAGGUGAUCCUCUUUUCCUAAACCUGAGAGCAGUCUGUGUAGGAAGAAGACAGGUCUGAUGUGAACGGCGCCCGGGAUGUGUCUGGGAGAAGGAAGACGAGAAGAAGAGCUCAAGUCUCGUGUUUUGCCAGAAGGAGAAGGAACACAGCGUCCUCGCGAGCGAGGCUUGUUCUAAACUUAGCCAGCUCCUGUGGUUCCAAAGUUGGCAAAAU